rnacentral:lncRNA from 1 species
UUUUCUUCCUCUUCAACUUUUGCUUCUAGUUUGCUGGGUGUUCACCCUUCCACAUAUGUCCUCGCUUUCCAGAGCUGAUCAUAAAGUGGUGAGUAGGCUUAGAGCUCAGGAAAUGCUUCUUGAUUAACAGAUCUUUUUAGAUAGCGUUCAGAGCAAAGGAAUAAAGAAGACAAUAAACUCUGAAUCAGAUGGGAAACUUCAGGUUGCCAGUAACAGAAACCCUAUCAUAACAGAUAUGAACAGCAACCAACAAAAGGAACAGGUCAGCUCCUGUAACUGCUGUUCCAGGGGCCUCAGGAGAAGCUUGGUCUAGAGUCCAGUCUGUUCCUCUGUCUCUCAGCUGUCUCCUCUCCGUCUCCCCCAUUCACAGGCAAGCUCUCCCUCACAGCGAUGGAAGGUGUCUCAAUCGAGUCUGGAACAUCAUGCGUGCUUAUUGGCAUCCAGCAGGGGUGAAAAGUCUACUUCAAGAUAAAUUAUCAAGACAAACAAAAAUCCCAGGUACGACAAGGAGGUGGUAAAUAUCCAUACAGGGACCUCCAGCUCUAAGACAUGGAAGGGAAUGAAUCCGUU